rnacentral:rRNA from 1 species
ACUACGGGAGGCAGCAGUGGGGGAUAUUGCACAAUGGGGGGAACCCUGAUGCAGCGACGCCGCGUGGGUGAAGGAGCGUUUCGGCGCGUAAAGCCCUAUCGGCAGGGAAGAAGGAGGACGGUACCUGACUAAGAAGCCCCGGCUAACUACGUGCCAGCAGCCGCGGUAAUAAGUAGGGGGAAAGCGUUAUCCGGAUUUACUGGGUGUAAAGGGGGCGCAGACGGCAGCGCAAGCCAGGAGUGAAAGCCCGGGGCCCAACCCCGGGACUGCUCUUGGAACUGCGCGGCUGGAGGGCAGGAGGGGCAGGCGGAAUUCCUGGUGUAGCGGUGAAAUGCGUAGAUAGCAGGAGGAACACCGGUGGCGAAGGCGGCCUGCUGGACUGCGACUGACGUUGAGGCCCGAAAGCGUGGGGAGCAAACAGGAUUAGAUACCCCAGUAGUC